rnacentral:rRNA from 1 species
GAUGAACGCUAGCGGCAGGCCUAAUACAUGCCAGUCGAACGGGAUCCAGAUCAAAGCUUGCUUUGGUCUGGUGAGAGUGGCGCACGGGUGCGUAACGCGUGAGCAACCUACCCUUGUCAGGGGGAUAGCCCGGCGAAAGUCGGAUUAAUACCGCAUGACAUCAUUGAGAGGCAUCUUUCGAUGAUCAAGGAUUUAUCGGACAAGGAUGGGCUCGCGUGACAUUAGCUAGUUGGUAAGGUAACGGCUUACCAAGGCUGCGAUGUCUAGGGGCUCUGAGAGGAGAAUCCCCCACACUGGUACUGAGACACGGACCAGACUCCUACGGGAGGCAGCAGUAAGGAAUAUUGGUCAAUGGACGGAAGUCUGAACCAGCCAUGCCGCGUGCAGGAAGACGGCCCUAUGGGUUGUAAACUGCUUUUAUACGGGAACAAACGUCGGUACGUGUACCGGUCUGAGUGUACCGUAAGAAUAAGGAUCGGCUAACUCCGUG